CGUUUCACACUCAAUCCCAUGCCUUUGUUGCCAUUGUUCUACUCGUCGCCCCCGCCGGCAGAAGCAGCAAGUCCCGGGGCUGAUCGUCAUUGUCGUCUUCUUACUUAGACUUUUGCCAUCAGCUUCCUCUUCGCCAUCAGCUUCCUUCGCACAACCAGAAGCUGGUCUCCAAUUUGGUGGCAGAAGCUCCAAACAGAUUGAAGAUCCCUCACGUCCAUUGCUGCAAGCCUGCAACACAGGCAAGCAGCUUUGAAUAGAGUGAAAGGCUCACUUGACUGCUCUCAAUUAAAGAUUAACUGGUAUUUAGAUCCGUCGUGAUUUCACCAUUCAAUGUAUUUUAAUGAAUUAAUAACAAAAUAUU